CUUAGUGAUAUUUAGUCAUUAGAAUCUCGACGAAAUGAAUUCUUAGCCCAAGUUACCUCGCCUUUAUAGAGAAGCCAUGAACGUUAUAAAGCUUCACGUGACGACUGAAGUAGAAAAACGUCGGUGUACUGAACUCCUGUCGCCGGGUUUCUCGCGUGAUUGACCGUGCCAGCUGGGAUGCCUUCAGUAUAUACUUAUAAUACAAUGUGAGAUCAAGAAGCCGUAAGUUACAAUGGUUAGCCUGUGGACCUUAAUUAAACCGAACCUUCCCCCGUCUCCAACCCCAGAAAAGGGUGCGAGCAGACUCUCAAUCAGUGAAGUCUGCGAAAGUCGAGCCGGCCCUUUCUCAGUCUUCGAGGGGUUUGGCAGCUUGCAAGAUGCUGGUGAUUGAGGCGACAAUGAAAGCGUGUUCGUAAGCUACCCUCAAAAGGAAAGAAACCAGCCACCGAUUCCCUUAGUGAUAACAGAUAUAGCUCGUGAUUAUGGCAAUAGCUGCAAUCGUCUAGGGGAAGAAAACCUUAGCAAAAAUAGGAUAUCACUACCAGAUAUGAAGGUCCAGGACUGUGGAAAACCACUCUUUCCAUAUCAUUAAAGGAUCAUGCCAGAAAUAAUCAACAAAACAGUUAAAUCCAACCAGGGAAGUAACGCGCUUAACCUCUUCCUAAAGCUUAAUUAAAGACCCUAGAUGGCUGCAGGCACGAAAUGAAUAGUUGACAGAAGGUGAUUUUAUGCCUGUCUCUACACGCGUGUAUCCGCGCAACUUUGCGUGUUACGUGGUGGAUUUGCUUUGUCGGACGAAAAACACUGGAAACUAGUUUAAAACGUAAAUCCAACAUGGCGGCUUGGAUGAAGAUGUAAACAAGAAUGAGUUAAUGAUCUGUCAGUUUUUAGGCAAAAACAGGAGAAUAAUGAGGAUUUUUAACAUCACACGCCUUUAAGUUGAUGUUGGAUCUUGCUAAAUGUUGUUUAUAUGGAAAAAACGACGUCCCAUUGGUGUAAAAUCUCGGAGAUGGAGACCUCGUGCAGUCGUUGGGAUGAACUGCUGGAGAGACGCGGCAAGAGUAAGGAAGGUUGAGCAGUCAUCAGUGGAGCUUCUCUUCAUAGAUUCGAAUCAGCCUACUGCUAGUCAUCCCCCCAUCGAUGUGAAAUUUCAACAAAGGUGGCCGAAGAGCUCUCCGAUUCAUGAUUUUCGGUUCUCAGGGGCCAGGAAAAGCCUUGUUCCAACCCAAAUACCUUGGAUAUCGUCUGUAAAGGCGUGAGAUUGUUUCUUAGAGGUUACUGAAGCAAGUGGUUUGAAUUCGAAGACGAAGAAGGCUAAGUAUGAUGGAUGUCAUUUAAGUCACGACUCUUUUCAAGGUAAACAACGUACAAAUAUGUAUUUAUACGUUUUUUGUAUAGAAAUGCAGUGUAUGUGUUUCAGGUUGUUGCUCUAGUAUAAUUUAUGGUAUGAGUUUAAUGAAAAAAGGAAAAGCAUGUUAUACAAAGUUCAGUGUGAGACAAUUUUUCUGUAGUAGCCGCCAUGACAGUUCUUGAUGAACCACGUGACUUUUAGGGCAACAAUAGGAAAUACGUACUUAAUUCAUGAUGAACUGAUCGCCUAAUGACUCACUUAUCUUUACUUUUAUACUUAUUAUUCUGUACACAGUUUCUAUUAUAUUGGUAUUUUAAAGUUAAAUUUGUUUCAACGCGCUGUUAUUUUCCCUACUUCCAAUCUCCACUAGAAAAGAGAAUGCUAAGUCGUCUGAAAUGAUAGAAUUCGUAUCCGUUUUUAGGUCUUGUGAUCAUGGUUAUGGUACAUUGAAAUUGUUCAUCGAAAAUGCGAUGAUGGCACCGAUUGAGUCUUUCAAUCCCGACAUUGAUCCUCAUCAAUCACCCAAAAAGCACUUACCAUAAUAUAAGUAUGUACGUUUUUACAAUACAAAUUUCUGCUUUUUCUCUCAUCAGUAACAACGUUGGGCAAAAGAUGAGGUUAUCACUAGAUCAAGAAAUUCAAGCGAGGAAAGGAAACAAGACAACUUCCAAAAAUAUUGACUGAUGCACGAAUCAAACAAGAAAGGCUGUUACACAAAGACAAGAUUUAUUCAGAGGUAUAAAACAGGUGCAGCCCAUUGCCACCCCGAAUACCGCCAACAAGAGCCAAGAGACAUUUAAAAAAAUCGACGACUUGAAGCCAAGCGUAAGCAAAUGUUAUUUUGCCAUUUUAUUGAAACCCAAAAUUUUUUGCCAACGUAAUGCUCAUGGCCACGGGCUGUUUAAUACUUUUAUUUUUUCCCGCCAAAAAACUUAGAAAAAUACGUGUGCCUAUACUACGCAUGCGCCUUUUUUUUUUUUUUAUUUAGUCUGUAAGUAAGAUCUGUUCAAAUAUGGCGAAUUUUCCCGCCAAAAGACUUAUAAAAAAUACGGCGCCCAAAA